GCCCGGAUGGUCUAGAGGUAUGAUUCUCGCUUUGGGGUUUGAUUGUAUGCUGCAUAAUACCUGUAUUGGUUUAUGGAUCUUACAUUCUUCUGUAUGCGAGAGGUCCCCGGUUCGAUCCCGGGUUCGGGCC